rnacentral:rRNA from 1 species
GGGUGAGUACACGUGGGUAACUACCUAUAGACUGGGAUACUUCGGGAAACCGGAGCUAAUACCGGAUAACAUUUGGAACCGCAUGGUUCUAAAGUGAAAGAUGGUUUUGCUAUCACUUAUAGAUGGACCCGCGCCGUAUUAGCUAGUUGGUAAGGUAACGGCUUACCAAGGCGACGAUACGUAGCCGACCUGAGAGGGUGAUCGGCCACACUGGAACUGAGACACGGUCCAGACUCCUACGGGAGGCAGCAGUAGGGAAUCUUCCGCAAUGGGCGAAAGCCUGACGGAGCAACGCCGCGUGAGUGAUGAAGGGUUUCGGCUCGUAAAACUCUGUUAUUAGGGGAGAAACAAACGUGUUAAGUAACUGGUGCACGGCCUUGACGGUAACCUAAACAGAAAG